rnacentral:tRNA from 1 species
GGUUCCAUAGCUCAACUGGAUAGAGCAACAGAUUUCUAAUCUGUAGGUUCAGGGUUCGAGUCCCUGUGGAAUCA